UGUUACCGAGAGACGUGUAAUCCGGUGGUUGCUAAGAAAAUUCAGAACAGAAGAAAACACAGAUGAUAGUGAAGAGCAAGUGGAUUCUAACCAUCAUGUGAAAAACAUCCCUAAUUCAUUAUUGGUGUUCAAGUAAAAACUACGUUUUUGUGCUUUUAUUGGUGCUGAGAAACGCACAUUAAUGUCCUAGACACAGGUGGUCGUAUUUUUUUUUAGAGGACUGGCACUGUGGGCUCCACACUUCACCAAGACAAGACAGGUCAAAAUCAGUAAUCUUUGUCAUGACUGAUGGCUGAUUUUUAAGUACGAUGAGUGUAUGCCAAUGUCCAUGUUAAGCACUACACUACGGCGCAUCAGAGAAUAACAUACAGUACCUCACUUCCAUGUUAAUACUGACAUAUUUUGAGGGUUGUUUUUUUUUUUUUUUCUUUCUCAUUUUUGAAGCUCCUGUUUGAGCUGCAUGUUUGACCCUCAGGGAACUCACUGUAAAGUCCCCAGAUCUACGGAAAUCUUUACAAAUAUGAUGGUGUUUUUUUUUUUUGUUUUUUUUUCUCUCACCUGAGGAAUUCAUCUCUUUGUUCUGAUUGGUUCACAGUAUUUUAUGUAUAUAUAUAUAAAUAUAUAUCUUAUCAUCUCCAUCUUGGCAGGCGUCAGUGUCGCUACUCUGUAAAUAGUGUUUAUAGACUAUUUUGUAGGUGAAUAUUUUAAUAAUAAAAUGUUAAAAUCGA